UACGUAGGGGCAAGCGUUGGUCCGGAAUCAUUGGGCGUAAAGCGCGUGUAGGCGGCCCGGUAAGUCCGCUGUGAAAGUCGGGGGCUCAACCCUCGAAUGCCGGUGGAUACUGUCGGGCUAGAGUGCGGAAGAGGCGAGUGGAAUUCCUGGUGUAGCGGUGAAAUGACGCAGAUAUCAGGAGGAACACCAAUUGCGAAGGCAGCUCGCUGGGACGUUACUGACGCUGGAGAACGCGAAAGCGUGGGGAGCAAACAGG
rnacentral:rRNA from 1 species